rnacentral:rRNA from 1 species
AUUGAACGCUGGCGGAAUGCUUUACACAUGCAAGUCGAACGGCAGCACGGACUUCGGUCUGGUGGCGAGUGGCGGACGGGUGAGUAAUGUAUCGGAACGUGCCCAGUCGUGGGGGAUAACGUCGUGAAAAUUACGCUAAUACCGCAUACAAUCUAUGGAUGAAAGCGGGGGAUCGCAAGACCUCGCGCGAUUGGAGCGGUCGAUAUCAGAUUAGGUAGUUGGUGGGGUAAAGGCCCACCAAGCCAACGAUCUGUAGCUGGUCUGAGAGGACGACCAGCCACACUGGAACUGAGACACGGUCCAGACUCCUACGGGAGGCAGCAGUGGGGAAUUUUGGACAAUGGGCGAAAGCCUGAUCCAGCCAUUCCGCGUGCAGGAUGUAGGCCCUCGGGUUGUAAACUGCUUUUGUACAGAACGAAAAGGUUUCUACUAAUACUAGGAGCUCAUGACGGUACUGUAAGAAUAAGCACCGGCUAACUACGUGCCAGCCGCCGCCGUAA